rnacentral:misc_RNA from 1 species
UCUGGUCCUGAUGCCACGCAAGAGAAAAUGUGAGGUGAAUGGCCUUUUGGUAGGCCACUCCGACGCUCAAGUUAGAAAUCUUGUUUUAAGAGAGCUUUCAGAGAGUAUUUAGUUAAAGAGAAUUGUAGAAUGAGUAUGCAUACCUGUCUUUGGUCUCUUGUUUGGUAUUCAUAGGAAAAAAGCCAUUGCUUCAUCUAUGAAGGUAAUUUUGGCUGAUUUUCCAGGAUUGCAAGGAUGAAAUCCGCUCUGCUUGAUUCCUGGCGUAUUUAUUGUUCAGUUCAUGAAAUCCUAGAUCUGAUUGGCGUGGUUGCUGCUCGAUUAUAUCUUUCGUUUGCCCUGUUGGGUGAACGAAGGUUUGCUUGUCUUGUUAUGUUCGGUCUUGUUUUGUUCAGUUUUGGCCAUAUAAAUACUGUCUUGAUUUUUGACUACCAUGCUUGACAUAAAUUAGACUUUUUUACUGCCAUGCUGGACGUAAUUUGACUUUUUGUCUUGGAUUUUGG